rnacentral:misc_RNA from 1 species
CCUGCAGCCCGACUUGAGUGCAGCUCUUUUUUUGUGUAGCAAAGCGGAACAAAAAAAAGCGGGAACGGAAGGCGGAAAUUGCU